rnacentral:sRNA from 1 species
AAUGGAACUGGGCAAAGAAUUCUAUAACAACAGCAGAUAGACUAAAGUUGUGGUUCGAAAAAGUUUUCGGGUGCCAGCAAAAUUAAGAUUUUCUACAUGCAAUACCUAUUUCAGUGACACAAAUUUGCAAAUGUGUAAUUUGAAUUAAUUUUUCUAGUUUUACUAACAUAACCCGAUAACAUAAAAAUUCUACUUUGCAAUUAUUUCUACUGUGUAAACAAAUUAAAACAAAACCAAAGCUCCCAGAAGCAAAGAGUGCGUGUGAAAAAAUUUGAAAUAGGAAAAUCAUUUUCGAGAAUACAUCCAAGUAAUUGGAAUCAUUUUAGUAUUUUUCGGUCAUUUAAUAAGUUUUUAACGCCUGAAACAAAAAAAAUGCAAUAGAAUACUGCACGGAAAAAUUGAUACAUUGAAAACAUUUAAAUGAGAAAACAAUCGACAAAAGAAAAAUACAACAGAAAAUAAUUAUGUAAAAAAAAAACGCAAAAUCCAAGUAAAACGAUUUUUUCUCAUAGCGAGUGCCAACCAAUAAUUUGCAGAGAUAGAAACCCCAAGCAGCAAUAAAAGACCGAAGGGCUAAAUUAUCUAUUGUGUUUGUGCGGUGCAGUGAAAUAAAGUGCAAUAACAACCACAAGAAAUGCAAAAAAAUCAACAAAAAAAACGUUGAAUUUUGUAUAAUUAUUUUUGUCCCAUUAAGAAGAGUGGAAGAAGAACCCUUUCCACCAAAGGGGAGGAGAGAAAACGAGAAAAAACGGAACUUAACCUAAAAACGAUAAAAGAGCAACAACAGAAAAAAAUACGCCGAGAGGUGAGAGACAGCAGUAAACCGAAACAAGAGAGGCAAUAACAAAAGAAUCAGCACCGCACCAAACAAGCAGACAUUCAGCACUGAGAGCCAAACCCUAGCAGCUGAAGUAGCUACACUCCUCCUCACCUCGUAUCAUCUGUACCAACUACAAAACCCACUAAGGCGGCAGGCCAACAGGGUAUAAGAAGAGAAAGAAGCAGAACAAGAAGUAAUAAAAGAAGAAAAAGUACCGCAACAACAACAACAACAACAACAGCAGCAAACACUGUCAUUUUGUUGACGUCUUGGCUGAAACACAACAACAAAACAAUUUUGACUGUUUUUGUUUAAUAAUAGCCAAAUAAAAAAAAAACAGAAACA